UACAGAGGGUGCAAGCGUUAAUCGGAAUUACUGGGCGUAAAGCGAGCGUAGUCGGUUAUUUAAGUCGGAUGUGAAAUCCCCGGGCUCAACCUGGGAAUUGCAUUCGAUACUGGGUAGCUAGAGUUCGGCAGAGGGAAGCGGAAUUUCGGGUGUAGCGGUGAAAUGCGUAGAUAUCCGAAGGAACAUCAGUGGCGAAAGCGGCUUCCUGGACCAGAACUGACGAUCAGGCUCGAAAGCGUGGGGAGCAAAC
rnacentral:rRNA from 1 species